rnacentral:misc_RNA from 1 species
GGUUUGACCGACGCCAGCCCCUCGGGUGUUUCGAACAGCAACUCACCAUUCGCAUUCCAUCCCGUCCAGCGAUGACGGAGCGCCAACCGCACACCUGACUGGUCGAGGCGCCGCAACCACGCACGCAGCAACGGCGACGCCUUCAUCGCUUGCGGAAAAACCCGCCCGCUCGAGCCAACGAACGUCGUGGCCGAGGGCUUCGCUCCACGCGCGGAGCGCCUCUGGCGGAAACGCUUCGAUCGCCGCUCGCAGAUGCGGUGCGGCCUCGCGAUAGCGCGCGAGGAACGCGUCAAACGGCUCGCUGUGGGUGAGAUUGAGACCACCGCGUCCAGCCAGCAGAAACUUGCGGCCGACCGACGGCAUGCGAUCAUAGAUCGUGACGCGCGCACCGUCUGCGCUAAGAAUUUCAGCCGCCAUCAGCCCCGCUGGGCCGGCACCGAUGACGGCGAUAUUCAAGACGCUUAUCCGCCCAUCGACGGCAGCUUGAUACCUGCUGCCUUCGCGGCCUGCUCCACAUACUUGAAGGUCUGGAAGAACGNUCACGCGCAGUCGACAUGUCGCCGAUCUUCGCGAAAUUUGCGGCGAUGGCGUCCGGCGUCC